rnacentral:rRNA from 2 species
UAGGGAAUCUUCGGCAAUGGACGAAAGUCUGACCGAGCAACGCCGCGUGAGUGAAGAAGGUUUUCGGAUCGUAAAACUCUGUUGUUAGAGAAGAACAAGGACGUUAGUAACUGAACGUCCCCUGACGGUAUCUAACCAGAAAGCCACGGCUAACUACGUGCCAGCAGCCGCGGUAAUACGUAGGUGGCAAGCGUUGUCCGGAUUUAUUGGGCGUAAAGCGAGCGCAGGCGGUUUCUUAAGUCUGAUGUGAAAGCCCCCGGCUCAACCGGGGAGGGUCAUUGGAAACUGGGAGACUUGAGUGCAGAAGAGGAGAGUGGAAUUCCAUGUGUAGCGGUGAAAUGCGUAGAUAUAUGGAGGAACACCAGUGGUGAAGGCGGCUCUCUGGUCUGUAACUGACGCUGAGGCUCGAAAGCGUGGGGAGCAAACAGG